AACAUAACCUUUAGCCAAACAAAUAUUAAAGGCAACGCCUGCCCAGUGAACAAUUAAACGGCCGCGGUAUCCUAACCGUGCAAAGGUAGCAUAAUCAUUUGUCUAUUAAUUGUAGACCCGUAUGAAAGGCAAAAUGAGAGCCUAACUGUCUCUUAUAACAAAUCAAUUAAACUGAUCUCCCAGUACAAAAGCUGGGAUACCCACAUAAGACCAGAAGACCCUGUGAAGCUUUAACUAACCUAUUAAACCACAUAAUAGCUAGUUUCGGUUGGGGCGACCUUGGAAUAAAAAAGAACUUCCAAAAAAUAUGACCUUCUCAUAUAAAAGGCAGACAGGCCACAAUUAGACCCAGAACUUCUGAUACAUGAACCAAGUUACUCCAGGGAUAACAGCGCUAUCUUCUUUAAGAGCCCAUAUCAAAAAGAAGGUUUACGACCUCGAUGUUGGAUCAGGACAUCCUAGUAAUGCAACAGUUACUAAGGGUUCGUUUGUUCAACGAUUAAUAGUCCUACGUGA
rnacentral:rRNA from 1 species